rnacentral:rRNA from 1 species
UACGGAGGGGGCUAGCGUUGUUCGGAAUUACUGGGCGUAAAGGGCGCGUAGGCGCCUUCUAAGUCGGACGUGAAAUCCCUCGGCUUAACCGAGGAACUGCGUCCGAUACUGAAAGGCUUGAAUCCGGGAGAGGGAUGUGGAAUUCCAGGUGUAGCGGUGAAAUGCGUAGAUAUCUGGAGGAACACCGGUGGCGAAGGCGGCAUCCUGGACCGGCAUUGACGCUGAGGAGCGAAAGCCAGGGGAGCAAACGGG